UACGUAGGUGGCGAGCGUUGUCCGGAUUUACUGGGCGUAAAGCGCGCGCAGGCGGACUGAUCAGUCUGUGGUGAAAUCUCACGGCUCAACUGUGAGCGGUCCCUGGAUACUGUCAGCCUUGAGAUGUCUAGAGGAGAGCGGAAUUCCCGGUGUAGUGGUGGAAUGCGUAGAUAUCGUAAGGAAGACCAGUGGCGAAGGCGGGUCUCUGGACAGUUCCUGACGCUGAGGCACGAAGGUCAGGGGAGCAAACGGG
rnacentral:rRNA from 1 species